CAGGGUGAGGAAUACGCCAGCUCAAUGGAUGUCAUGGAGGAAAACAUGUCACCAAAGAAGAUGCUUGAGAAAAUUGCAGAGCUGGAAUACAGUCAGAGUCUGCUGAGAGCUCAAAAUGCUGACAUGAGGAAAUUGCUGGAUGCCGCAGAUGAUGACAUGGCAGCGCUGGGCUCAGAGAAUAAGUCCCUCAGAAAACUAGUUGAAACCAUGGAGAACUUUUUCCAAGACUUGCAACAGACUGAAGCAGAGCCUUGCAUAGCUCUGGCAGAUGACUUUGAGGCACAUAGAUGGAAUGUAGAAAAGAUCCAUGAAUUGGAGAAGGAAUCCACCGUAAUGAAGGAACAAUAUGAGAAACUAACUGCAAAGCUCAAAAGCCUCCAGAAAGAGAUAGACCAGGACAAGCUCACUUUGAGCAACCUGAAGUUUGAAAUUCAGGGCUUGAAGUUUCAAAGGGAAGAGGACCAGUCAAAACUGGAGCACAAGGAUGAGGUUAUUCAUCAGAUAGACUUGCAGUUGAAGCAGUUAAAUGAAACUGUGGAAGAGUGCUUCAACAACAUAAAGGACCUCAGGCAGACAACGCAGGAGCUGAGUAAGCAGAUGGAGGACAGACGAGAUGAGGCCACAUUUGACCUGAUGAGAGAGAAGGAACGAGUGCCCGACCGCCCUCUGUCCUUUGCAGAGGAAAUUAAACUGCUGGCCUCAACAGCUGAAGUGAAUGACGGCAUGACAAACUCCACAAAUCUUGGAAAUUGUCUACAGGAGGAACCUGAGACUGAGGAGCUGCUGAAACCUCAUCUUCUCACAGUUAACCUUCAGUCUAAAAGAUGCCCAGGUACUUUGGAGGCAGCGAUCUGGAGAGUAGGUUUCUUUAUGCUGUGCAUCUUCAUUCUCAUGAUUUUAGCCAUUGUGGCUUCAGGAUGCUUUGUAGGAACAUCUGACUUCUCUUCCAUCACCACUUUGUGGGCUAGCGCCCACCUGAUGUUACAGCCCUACUUGAGUGUACAGUAUGGGGCCUUGCCUCCCAUUUGAGCUUAACUCUCUCUCUGGUCUGUUCUUGUAUUUCUGUUCUUGUAUUUUUUGUAAACAUGAGUUCAGAAAACAAACAAAUAAAACUUCAGCCUCAGGGUCUUGGAUGAGCUUGCUGACUGUCUAUUACACUGUUUUGACAGAAACUUCUAGAUUCUAAACCAACAGCAUUUAGAAGCUGUGCUGAUCAAUAAAAUCAUAUGAGCAAAAGCAAGUAUCUUAACUACAGAACAGGAUUAGGGCCACGGGAAAAAAGUGGGCACGUCUUUUUUUUUUCCAGAAUUCUGAGAAAAAAGGCAGAAUUUUUUCAGGAUUUUGGAAAAGGAAAAAAAAAGACAUGUCCACUUUUUUUUACAGCGGCCCUAAUCCUCUUCCAUACUUAACAGCAAAGGAGACCGGAUCCAAAUAGUUUCAGUGAAAGGCGACUAAGAAUAAAAGACCCCACCCAAACAAAUAAACUAUAGAUGUUAUGGCUCUGUUUGCAGAUUGGAUCUUUUUUAACUUUCACUUUAUUUUGUUUUGAUUUUUUAAAAUCUCAUUUCACUGUGUUAUCAUCUAUGUUAAGUUGUAUUGCAUAUAUGUCUUUAUUUAGCAUCAUUCUGAUUUUAUUGUUGGACCUUACUUCACACAGAGGCUUUACUUCCUUUAAUCCUUUGAAUUUUCUUUUUUAAUCAAUGGAUAUAUAUAUAUAGACUUUUGGAAAAUAUUCUCAUUCACCCCACAAAAUCCUCUCACGUGACACUUGAAUCAUUGCUUCGUGUUAUCAGUAUUUCGCUCGCGUCGCCCCACCCAGCUGAAGGCGCUCUAGUCUGUAGGUCCAGGAAGAAAAAAAACCCUCCUCCCCGACGGGAAAAUCAUAAACAACAGAUCAAAUUUAGGGCAGGAGGAAAGAGAGGAUACUGACAUAUAGGCGCUGGCUGAUGAUUCAUUGUGUGCACGUAUCCGCUGGGUGUAUGUGAAGCGUGUGGAUGCUGCACGGUUAGUGCUGACUGACUCACGGAGAUGCUGUGGACAGGCCGAACCUGUUUAACAUCCGCUUGCUUAUUGGAUGGAGCAAAGAAAGAAAGACGAUAAAUCAGAAUAAGAGAUCAACAGGCCAGUUGUAUUCGGUCUGAGAGAAGGAGCCCGAAGAAGAGGGACAGCGGCAUGUUCUGAGCAGAGAGCCGACGAGCAGUGGCAGCAGGCGGGAUGAAGGCUCCGAGAAGACCGAGGCAGACGCGCCUCCUCCCGCGUUUCUGCGUCUGUGGAGUCGGUCUGUUCGCAGCCGUCUGGAUCUUUCACUUCUGUGAUGUUACAGGUGUGUAUAAAGACCCUGAUGUAAAGUUUUCUUAACCCCUCCUAUACUUUUAUUAUUUUCUAUAACAGAUCGAAUUGCAGUAUUUAGGCAAAUGUCACGUUGCAGCUGUACAUAUUAUUUUAGCAGGAUACUAGUAAAGAAACACGUUAAAGUUGCAUAAAAGGUUAUAUCCUCAAAUAGCUUAACUGUAUUUAU
ensembl:lncRNA